rnacentral:rRNA from 1 species
GUACACACCGCCCGUCGCUACUACCGAUUGAAUGGCUCAGUGAGGCGUUCGGACUGGCUCGGAGAGGUUGGCAACGACCACUCCGAGCCGGAAAGUUCGUCAAACUCGGUCAUUUAGAGGAAGUAAAAGUCGUAACAAGGUUUCCGUAGGUGAACCUGCGGAAGGAUCAUUACCUAGAGUUGUAGGCUUUGCCUGCUAUCUCUUACCCAUGUCUUUUGAGUACCUUCGUUUCCUCGGCGGGUCCGCCCGCCGAUUGGACAAUUUAAACCAUUUGCAGUUGCAAUCAGCGUCUGAAAACUUAUAGUUACAACUUUCAACAACGGAUCUCUUGGUUCUGGCAUCGAUGAAGAACGCAGCGAAAUGCGAUAAGUAGUGUGAAUUGCAGAAUUCAGUGAAUCAUCGAAUCUUUGAACGCACAUUGCGCCCCUUGGUAUUCCAUGGGGCAUGCCUGUUCGAGCGUCAUUUGUACCUUCAAGCUCUGCUUGGUGUUGGGUGUUUGUCUCGCCUCUGCGCGCAGACUCGCCUCAAAACAAUUGGCAGCCGGCGUAUUGAUUUCGGAGCGCAGUACAUCUCGCGCUUUGCACUCAUAACGACGACGUCCAAAAGUACAUUUUUACACUCUUGACCUCGGAUCAGGUAGGGAUACCCGCUGAACUUAAGCAUAUC